rnacentral:lncRNA from 1 species
CGGGGCUUCACUUGCACUUCACUUGUUUUUAUUCGCGCGAGUGAGGCGAAAAACAUCCCGCGAGUAACCAACCAUGGUCUACAAUAUCGAACUCAACAGCUCUUUUAAGAGCCAACCCUCACAAACCUUACUAAAAACUAAAAGUAAAACUAAGAGUCUCAACGAAUCUUGCCAUAAUCGGCCCUUCCCAGAAGAGAAGGAAGACCAAGGAAAUUCUUUGUUCAGGGUGAGGAAUGAACAUGGCCAUCUUGC